UAGGCUGGGGGGCAGGCAAAUCCGCCCCCCGUUAAGGCUGAACCCCGACAGUACCCGGAUUCUCACGAUGAAGGGAUAGUGGAGGUAAUCAUGCUGCCAAGAAAAGCGUCGUAGUUUGUCCGGAGAGCUCGUACCCCAAACCGACACAGGUGGGUGAGGAGAGUAUCCUAAGGUGCUCGAGUAAUUCAUGGCUAAGGAACUAGGCAAAUUGGAUCCGUAACUUCGGGAGAAGGAUCCCCCCUCUUCGGAGGGGGCGCAGUGAAAAGGCCCAAACGACUGUUUACCAAAAACACAUGUCUCUGCUAAGCCGCAAGGCGAUGUAUAGGGACUGACACCUGCCCGGUGCUGGAAGGUUAAGAGGAGGUGUGCAAGCACCGAAUUGAAGCCCCAGUAAACGGCGGCCGUAACUAUAACGGUCCUAAGGUAGCGAAAUUCCUUGUCGGGUAAGUUCCGACCUGCACGAAUGGCGUAACGACUUCCCCGCUGUCUCCAGCAUAGACUCAGUGAAAUUGAAUUCCCCGUGAAGAUGCGGGGUUCCUGCGGUCAGACGGAAAGACCCCGUGCACCUU
rnacentral:rRNA from 1 species